rnacentral:Y_RNA from 1 species
AGCUGGUCCGAAGGUCCCAAGCUAUCUCAGUGGAUUAUUCACAGUCAGUUACAGACUGAAUUCCUUGCUCUACUCUUUGCCCCCUUCUCACUACUGCACACGACUAGUCUUAA